rnacentral:rRNA from 1 species
AAUGAACGCUGGCGGCAUGCCUAACACAUGCAAGUCGAACGAGUGGCGGACGGGUGUGCCACGUCUGGGAAAUUCCUUGAUGGAGGGGGAUAACUACUGGAAACGGUAGUUAAAACCGCAAACCAUUAGAUUAUCCCAGACGGGACUAGCUUGGUGGUGGUGUAACGGCUCACCAAGGCCACGAUCCCUAGCUGAUCUGAGAGGAUGACCGGCCACACUGGAACUGAGACACGGUCCAGACGCCUACGGGAGGCAGCAGUAGGGAAUAUUGCGCAAUGGGCGCAAGCCUGAUGCAGCCAUGCCGCGUGUGUGAAGAAGGCCUUCGGAUUGUAAAGUUCUUUCAUCGGGGAGGCGUUACCCGCAGAAAAAGCAACGGCUAACUCCGUGCCAGCAGCCGCGGUAAUAC